AGCCACACCAGCUGGGGCCAAGUACCCCUUUGUAAAAGCUCCUACUGCCUGCACCAUUGGUAUUAGGAAGACCCUUCCCCUCCCCACUCCCCGCACCCUCUGAGCAAACUCAUUCCUUUAGGCAGGGGCACACGAACUACAACCUUGGGCCUGCUCUUUUCUAAGAAGUGUUUUCAAAAGGAGAAGGAAACAAGCCAUUUCUAAACUGGUUUCUACAUAUUCCACGAGCCUUACGUGGUAAUAAUAACAGCCAUGCACUUACUAGUAAUGUGUGCUCCGGGUCACGCCCUGUGCCAAGCACUGCAACUUGCAUUAACUCAUCGAAUCCUUACAGUUUUUCCUAAAGGUUGUAUUAGCCACGUUUCUCAGUUAAAGAAACUAAAACUCCAAGACAUCAAGUGCAUGACACGAUGAAGGCGAAGGGCCAGUUCGGCUGUACACAGAGGGCCCCAGACAAAGUGAGAAAAAGUGAGUGUUUGUGUAAUAGGGUGAGGAGGAAGGCAGAUGGUUCGUUAACAGCAUUUUUUCCUUAGAAUGGAAAUGUCUUCUUGUGUCUGAAUAUUCCGAGCCUUCUUUGCGGUGUGCGGGGCACUGGGUUUUGUUGGAACUAUGGUAACGGGACACAGUUUCCACCGUGGGGUGCCGGAGUGCUUAGGGACCUGCCCAUCACGGGGCAGAAUCGGGGAUGCGCGUUGCUAACCACAAUGCAAGGCACGCGGGCCUGUGCCAUUUCUCAUGGAUCAGGGAUGUGGCGGUGCCAUGUGGCGAGGGACCACGUCGAGUUGGGGACAUUAGCAAAGCAUCCUGGGGGAGGAGGGCCAGGGGGAGCGGCUUUCACAAGGAGGGGAACAGAGGAGGGCAGAGGCUCAGCCGGGGAAGCACGGGGCAGGUGUGGGGUGCAGCUGGAUCACGGGACAGGGUGGAACAUUCUAGAAAGGGAAGGUGGAAUUGGACGGAGUGGGGUGGGGGGUGGAUCUUGAGCGCCAGGCUGGGGGCGACUCCAUGCAGGAGCUGGGGAGUCACGGAGGGCGGGCCCGUGGGUGUUCUCCUGGGGCCCGCAGACCCGACGGGCGGGGCGCAGCCUGGUGGUGUGGUGGGCAGGUGGCUGCUUCUCCAUGUCAUCCAUCAUGACGGUCCUGGCUGAGAGCUGACAACCCGAGAUGCGCGAGAAAGUAAGGCAUCACCGUGGUGUAGGGUGACAAGCUCAGGUGCCUGCGAGGGCCAGAAAAGCUGGAUUUGUUUCUGUGAAAUCUCUAGACGCGCCGAUGUUGGAACCAAUUCAUCUUUUCAAAUGUGCAGGCCAAGGAAGACACCGGCAGUUUGUAACUGAAAGUUAUGAAAUAAUAAAACCGUCUUAGACAUUCU